AAUCUUCCGCAAUGGACGAAAGUCUGACGGAGCAACGCCGCGUGAGUGAUGAAGGUCNNNGGAUCNUNAACCUCUGUUGGUAGNGANNAACAAGUAUCGUUCGAAUAGGGCGGAAACUUGACGGUACGUAACCAGAACGCCACGGAUAACUCCGUGCCAGCAGCCGCGGUAAUACGUAGGUGGCAAGCGUUAUCCGGAAUUAUGUGGCGUAAAGCGCGCGCAGGCGGUUUCUUAAGUCUGAUGUGAAAGCCCGCGGCUCAACCGUGGAGGGUCAUUGGAAACUGGGAAGCUUGAGUGCAGAAGAGGAGGGUGGAAUUCCAUGUGUAGCGGUGAAAUGCGUAGAGAUAUGGAGGAACACCAGUGGCCAAGGCGACUCUCUGGUCUGCAACUGACGCUGAGGCGCGAAAGCGUGGGGAGCGAACA
rnacentral:rRNA from 1 species